GACGAACGCGUGGCGGCGUGCCUAAUACAUGCAAGUCGAACGAACCGCGACUGAGUGCUUGCACUUGGUCAAGGUGAGUGGCGAACGGGUGAGUAACACGUGGGUAACCUACCUCAUAGUGGGGGAUAACAGUCGGAAACGACUGCUAAUACCGCAUAGGACAUAGGAUCACAUGAUCCAGUGAGGAAAGGUGGCGCAAGCUAUCGCUAAGAGAUGGACCCGCGGUGCAUUAGCUAGUUGGUAGGGUAACGGCCUACCAAGGCGAUGAUGCAUAGCCGACCUGAGAGGGUGAUCGGCCACAUUGGGACUGAGACACGGCCCAA
rnacentral:rRNA from 1 species